AUAUGGUCAAGUGAAGAAGCGCAUACGGUGGAUGCCUUGGCAGUCAGAGGCGAUGAAAGACGUGGUAGCCUGCGAAAAGCUUCGGGGAGUCGGCAAACAGACUUUGAUCCGGAGAUGUCUGAAUGGGGGAACCCAGCCAUCAUAAGAUGGUUAUCUUGUACUGAAUACAUAGGUGCAAGAGGCGAACCAGGGGAACUGAAACAUCUAAGUACCCUGAGGAAAAGAAAUCAACCGAGAUUCCCUUAGUAGUGGCGAGCGAACGGGGACUAGCCCUUAAGUGGCUUUGAGAUUAGCGGAACGCUCUGGAAAGUGCGGCCAUAGUGGGUGAUAGCCCUGUACGCGAAAAUCUCUUAGUCAUGAAAUCGAGUAGGACGGAGCACGAGAAACUUUGUCUGAAUAUGGGGGGACCAUCCUCCAAGGCUAAAUACUACUGACUGACCGAUAGUGAACUAGUACCGUGAGGGAAAGGCGAAAAGAACCCCGGAGAGGGGAGUGAAAUAGAUCCUGAAACCGUAUGCGUACAAGCAGUGGGAGCAGACUUUGUUCUGUGACUGCGUACCUUUUGUAUAAUGGGUCAGCGACUUAUUUUCAGUGGCGAGCUUAACCGAAUAGGGGAGGCGUAGCGAAAGCGAGUCUUAAUAGGGCGUCUAGUCGCUGGGAAUAGACCCGAAACCGGGCGAUCUAUCCAUGGGCAGGUUGAAGGUUAGGUAACACUGACUGGAGGACCGAACCGACUACCGUUGAAAAGUUAGCGGAUGACCUGUGGAUCGGAGUGAAAGGCUAAUCAAGCUCGGAGAUAGCUGGUUCUCCUCGAAAGCUAUUUAGGUAGCGCCUCAUGUAUCACUGUAGGGGGUAGAGCACUGUUUCGGCUAGGGGGUCAUCCCGACUUACCAAACCGAUGCAAACUCCGAAUACCUACAAGUGCCGAGCAUGGGAGACACACGGCGGGUGCUAACGUCCGUCGUGAAAAGGGAAACAACCCAGACCGUCAGCUAAGGUCCCAAAGUUAUGGUUAAGUGGGAAACGAUGUGGGAAGGCUUAGACAGCUAGGAGGUUGGCUUAGAAGCAGCCACCCUUUAAAGAAAGCGUAAUAGCUCACUAGUCGAGUCGGCCUGCGCGGAAGAUGUAACGGGGCUCAAACCAUACACCGAAGCUACGGGUAUCACGUAAGUGAUGCGGUAGAGGAGCGUUCUGUAAGCCUGUGAAGGUGAGUUGAGAAGCUUGCUGGAGGUAUCAGAAGUGCGAAUGCUGACAUGAGUAACGACAAUGGGUGUGAAAAACACCCACGCCGAAAGACCAAGGUUUCCUGCGCAACGUUAAUCGACGCAGGGUUAGUCGGUCCCUAAGGCGAGGCUGAAAAGCGUAGUCGAUGGAAAACAGGUUAAUAUUCCUGUACUUCUGGUUAUUGCGAUGGAGGGACGGAGAAGGCUAGGCCAGCUUGGCGUUGGUUGUCCAAGUUUAAGGUGGUAGGCUGAGAUCUUAGGUAAAUCCGGGAUCUUAAGGCCGAGAGCUGAUGACGAGUUACCCUUUGGGUGACGAAGUGGUUGAUGCCAUGCUUCCAAGAAAAGCUUCUAAGCUUCAGAUAACCAGGAACCGUACCCCAAACCGACACAGGUGGUUGGGUAGAGAAUACCAAGGCGCUUGAGAGAACUCGGGUGAAGGAACUAGGCAAAAUGGCACCGUAACUUCGGGAGAAGGUGCGCCGGUGAGGGUGAAGCACUUGCUGCGUAAGCCCACGCCGGUCGAAGAUACCAGGCCGCUGCGACUGUUUAUUAAAAACACAGCACUCUGCAAACACGAAAGUGGACGUAUAGGGUGUGACGCCUGCCCGGUGCCGGAAGGUUAAUUGAUGGGGUUAGCUAACGCGAAGCUCUUGAUCGAAGCCCCGGUAAACGGCGGCCGUAACUAUAACGGUCCUAAGGUAGCGAAAUUCCUUGUCGGGUAAGUUCCGACCUGCACGAAUGGCGUAACGAUGGCGGCGCUGUCUCCACCCGAGACUCAGUGAAAUUGAAAUCGCUGUGAAGAUGCAGUGUAUCCGCGGCUAGACGGAAAGACCCCGUGAACCUUUACUAUAGCUUUGCACUGGACUUUGAAUUUGCUUGUGUAGGAUAGGUGGGAGGCUUUGAAGCGUGGACGCCAGUUCGCGUGGAGCCAUCCUUGAAAUACCACCCUGGCAACUUUGAGGUUCUAACUCAGGUCCGUUAUCCGGAUCGAGGACAGUGUAUGGUGGGUAGUUUGACUGGGGCGGUCUCCUCCUAAAGAGUAACGGAGGAGUACGAAGGUGCGCUCAGACCGGUCGGAAAUCGGUCGUAGAGUAUAAAGGCAAAAGCGCGCUUGACUGCGAGACAGACACGUCGAGCAGGUACGAAAGUAGGUCUUAGUGAUCCGGUGGUUCUGUAUGGAAGGGCCAUCGCUCAACGGAUAAAAGGUACUCCGGGGAUAACAGGCUGAUACCGCCCAAGAGUUCAUAUCGACGGCGGUGUUUGGCACCUCGAUGUCGGCUCAUCACAUCCUGGGGCUGAAGCCGGUCCCAAGGGUAUGGCUGUUCGCCAUUUAAAGUGGUACGCGAGCUGGGUUUAGAACGUCGUGAGACAGUUCGGUCCCUAUCUGCCGUGGACGUUUGAGAUUUGAGAGGGGCUGCUCCUAGUACGAGAGGACCGGAGUGGACGAACCUCUGGUGUUCCGGUUGUCACGCCAGUGGCAUUGCCGGGUAGCUAUGUUCGGAAUAGAUAACCGCUGAAAGCAUCUAAGCGGGAAACUAGCCUCAAGAUGAGAUCUCACUGGAACCUUGAGUUCCCUGAAGGGCCGUCGAAGACUACGACGUUGAUAGGUUGGGUGUGUAAGCGCUGUGAGGCGUUGAGCUAACCAAUACUAAUUGCCCGUGAGGCUUGACCAU
rnacentral:rRNA from 1 species